AGCAGCCGCGGUAAUUCCAGCUCCAAUAGCGUAUAUUAAAGUUGUUGCAGUUAAAAAGCUCGUAGUUGAAUUUCGGGAUCAAUACGUCGGUCGUGCUUAGGUACGUACUGGCGUAAUUGAUUUCUCCCUUCUGACGAACCAUGAUGUCAUUAACUUGGUGUCAUGGGAAAUCAGGACUGUUACUUUGAAAAAAUUAGAGUGUUUAAAGCAGGCUCACGCUUGAAUACAUUAGCAUGGAAUAAUGAAAUAGGACGUUCGAUCCUAUUUUGUUGGUUUCUAGGAUUGACGUAAUGAUUAAUAGGGAUAGUUGGGGGCAUUAGUAUUCAAUUGUCAGGGGUGAAAUUCUUGGAUUUAUUGAAGACUAACUACUGCGAAAGCAUUUGCCAAGGAUGUUUUCAUUAAUCAAGAACGAAAGUUAGGGGAUCGAAGACGAUCAGAUACCGUCGUAGUCUUAACCAUAAACUAUGCCGACUAGGGAUCGGAUGAUGUUAAUUUUUAAUGACUCAUUCGGCGCCUUAAC
rnacentral:rRNA from 1 species